rnacentral:rRNA from 1 species
UACGUAGGGUGCGAGCGUUAAUCGGAAUUACUGGGCGUAAAGGGUGCGCAGGCGGUCUCGUAAGCUGGGUGUGAAAGCCCCGGGCUUAACCUGGGAAUGGCAUUCAGGACUGCGAGGCUUUGAGUGUGGCAGAGGGAGGUGGAAUUCCACGUGUAGCAGUGAAAUGCGUAGAGAUCAUGAGGAAGACCAGUGGCGAAGGCGGGUCUCUGGACAGUUCCUGACACUGAGACACGAAGGCCAGGGGAGCAAACGGG